AAUCGGGCGAUAUUGUAGUAGAUUGUGAUGGCCCUAGCGGGUGUUGACGCAAUGUGACAUCUGCCCGGUGUUCCGAAAUUCAAGCAAGCGCGGGUGAACGGCGGGAGUAACUAUGACUCUCUUAAGCUCAUUUUAGGGAUACUGAUAGCAGACCCGACAAGUCACUCAAUAUGGAAAACAAAUAUAACGAUUAUUAC
rnacentral:ncRNA from 1 species